UUGAUGCAGUGUAAAAUAUGAUAACGGCUCAGAUUGCCGAUAGGGCAAAAGCUAUCAAAUGUGUAUAUAGCUUGUAUAUGACAUAUGUCUUUUGUUUAGCUAGCCUAUUAAAAGUGGUGAUCUGAAUAAACGUAGUUCUUCUACUCUUGGACUUGAAAGUGUUCGGUUGUUUAUUACGAAAGAGAAAUAUUUUACUGGCGACGAGGAUAAGUGGCAAAGCGUGUGCAAAAGGAAAGUUUUGGAAGUUCGGAUAGUUUAAUUGGAUUGAAGUUUUUCGGAUAUUUUGGAAGUUUGUGGACUGUGACGCUAUUGCCGGUCAAGUUGAUGCGGUUGCGCUUCGGAGCGACGUUUGAACGCACACCAUUUUCGUUACGGUGAGGCUUUUAUUAGUGGAACUAGCCCCUGGCCCCGUUUCCCGCGAAAAACGUACAGAGUAAGCGCGGAGGAUUGAUCUGAGGAAUUUGGUUGAUAGCGGAAUUUUGAGGUAGCGAUCGGUUCAAACACAAUCUCGGCUCACAGGGAGCAGAUUCGACUGAAGGAAGGACCUCGACGCCGGCGUAAUGUCGCGUUGGCGCCUCACAACAUGGUCAGGAGAGGCACUAAACGUCAGGCUAAUGAUUCAUUCGACGAUGAAGAACCAUUCUAUGGAUUUGAUUCGACUAUGGAACCACCUACGCCCGCCAGAAAUGAAGUUCAUCCUGCUAAGCUGCAAUUCCGAAGCAACGAAACACCAUGUGAGAAAAGUGUGAAGACUAUUCCGAGAUGAUCCACUAGAUUGAAGAAACGUAGGAGGCGAGAUGAAUUUGAGAAUGAAAUUUGAUUUUUGUUUCAACUUAUAGUAAAUUUAGAAUUUUUAUACAGGUAUCGAGUAAAUUUGAUUUUCUGAAAUAGCAUGAUAAAUAAGAUUGAUACGUUCUGAUCAUAAUUGUAGUUGAGUUGAGACUUUGAAUAUCAUAAGUUCGAAUUUAUACGUCGUUGCUUAAAAGGGAAGGAUUAUAAUAUCCGUUCGAUUUGAUGCAGUGUAAAAUAUGAUAACGGCUCAGAUUGCCGAUAGGGCAAAAGCUAUCAAAUGUGUAUAUAGCUUGUAUAUGACAUAUGUCUUUUGUUUAGCUAGCCUAUCUGAAUAAACGUAGUUCUUCUACUC